rnacentral:rRNA from 1 species
UUUAUGGAGAGUUUGAUCCUGGCUCAGGAUGAACGCUGGCGGCGUGCCUAAUACAUGCAAGUCGAGCGAACGGACGAGAAGCUUGCUUCUCUGAUGUUAGCGGCGGACGGGUGAGUAACACGUGGAUAACCUACCUAUAAGACUGGGAUAACUUCGGGAAACCGGAGCUAAUACCGGAUAAUAUUUUGAACCGCAUGGUUCAAAAGUGAAAGACGGUCUUGCUGUCACUUAUAGAUGGAUCCGCGCUGCAUUAGCUAGUUGGUAAGGUAACGGCUUACCAAGGCAACGAUGCAUAGCCGACCUGAGAGGGUGAUCGGCCACACUGGAACUGAGACACGGUCCAGACUCCUACGGGAGGCAGCAGUAGGGAAUCUUCCGCAAUGGGCGAAAGCCUGACGGAGCAACGCCGCGUGAGUGAUGAAGGUCUUCGGAUCGUAAAACUCUGUUAUUAGGGAAGAACAUAUGUGUAAGUAACUGUGCACAUCUUGACGGUACCUAAUCAGAAAGCCACGGCUAACUACGUGCCAGCAGCCGCGGUAAUACGUAGGUGGCAAGCGUUAUCCGGAAUUAUUGGGCGUAAAGCGCGCGUAGGCGGUUUUUUAAGUCUGAUGUGAAAGCCCACGGCUCAACCGUGGAGGGUCAUUGGAAACUGGAAAACUUGAGUGCAGAAGAGGAAAGUGGAAUUCCAUGUGUAGCGGUGAAAUGCGCAGAGAUAUGGAGGAACACCAGUGGCGAAGGCGACUUUCUGGUCUGUAACUGACGCUGAUGUGCGAAAGCGUGGGGAUCAAACAGGAUUAGAUACCCUGGUAGUCCACGCCGUAAACGAUGAGUGCUAAGUGUUAGGGGGUUUCCGCCCCUUAGUGCUGCAGCUAACGCAUUAAGCACUCCGCCUGGGGAGUACGACCGCAAGGUUGAAACUCAAAGGAAUUGACGGGGACCCGCACAAGCGGUGGAGCAUGUGGUUUAAUUCGAAGCAACGCGAAGAACCUUACCAAAUCUUGACAUCCUUUGACAACUCUAGAGAUAGAGCCUUCCCCUUCGGGGGACAAAGUGACAGGUGGUGCAUGGUUGUCGUCAGCUCGUGUCGUGAGAUGUUGGGUUAAGUCCCGCAACGAGCGCAACCCUUAAGCUUAGUUGCCAUCAUUAAGUUGGGCACUCUAAGUUGACUGCCGGUGACAAACCGGAGGAAGGUGGGGAUGACGUCAAAUCAUCAUGCCCCUUAUGAUUUGGGCUACACACGUGCUACAAUGGACAAUACAAAGGGCAGCGAAACCGCGAGGUCAAGCAAAUCCCAUAAAGUUGUU